AAAUUGAAGAGUUUGAUCAUGGCUCAGAUUGAACGCUGGCGGCAGGCCUAACACAUGCAAGUCGAACGGUAACAGGAAACAGCUUGCUGUUUCGCUGACGAGUGGCGGACGGGUGAGUAAUGUCUGGGAAACUGCCCGAUGGAGGGGGAUAACUACUGGAAACGGUAGCUAAUACCGCAUAACGUCGCAAGACCAAAGAGGGGGACCUUCGGGCCUCUUGCUAUCGGAUGUGCCCAGAUGGGAUUAGCUAGUAGGUGGGGUAACGGCUCACCUAGGCGACGAUCCCUAGCUGGUCUGAGAGGAUGACCAGCCACACUGGAACUGAGACACGGUCCAGACUCCUACGGGAGGCAGCAGUGGGGAAUAUUGCACAAUGGGCGCAAGCCUGAUGCAGCCAUGCCGCGUGUAUGAAGAAGGCCUUCGGGUUGUAAAGUACUUUCAGCGGGGAGGAAGGGAGUAAAGUUAAU
rnacentral:rRNA from 1 species